UUUUAUAUAAUUUAUAUGAAAUCUUAUUCUGCUGAAAUUUGCUCUUGAGACUCAGAAAUGUGAUUUCC